GACGAACGCUGGCGGCGUGCUUAACACAUGCAAGUCGAACGGAAAGGCCCUGCUUUUGUGGGGUGCUCGAGUGGCGAACGGGUGAGUAACACGUGAGUAACCUGCCCUUGACUUUGGGAUAACUUCAGGAAACUGGGGCUAAUACCGGAUAGGAGCUCCUGCGGCAUGGUGGGGGUUGGAAAGUUUCGGCGGUUGGGGAUGGACUCGCGGCUUAUCAGCUUGUUGGUGGGGUAGUGGCUUACCAAGGCUUUGACGGGUAGCCGGCCUGAGAGGGUGACCGGCCACAUUGGGACUGAGAUACGGCCCAGACUCCUACGGAGGCAGCAGUGGGGAAUAUUGCACAAUGGGCGGAAGCCUGAUGCAGCAACGCCGCGUGCGGGAUGACGGCCUUCGGGUUGUAAACCGCUUUCGCCUGUGACGAAGCGUGAGUGACGGUAAUGGGUAAAGAAGCACCGGCUAACUACGUG
rnacentral:rRNA from 1 species